AUGGCUCUCCACCGCCUACCGCUCCUCCUCCUCGUCCUCACAGCCAUCGUACCCCUGUUCACCGCCUCCGCUUCCCACAGCCAGCUCCCGCCGGAGCACGCCGCCGCGCGCCGCCGCCACCACCCUUCCCCCGCCACCGCCAGCCCGGCCACCGUCCAAUUCCACCCCGUCACCAGCGCCACCUCCUCCAUGCCCAAAAACCACCUCGGGAUGGAUCAGAGCCCGUCAACGCUCGAGGCCAUGGCGGGGAACCCCCAGGCACUGCCCGUGCCACCCCAAGCAGCCACACCACCGCCUCCACCCCAGGCACCGGCACAGCUGCUGCAGGAGGACUCGGACUCGGAGGGGUCGUCAUCUGCUUCGGCCUCUCCAGCCGCGGCCUCGUCCACGACAACGACGACGCUUCUACCGCUCCUCAACCAGCGCGCCGCGGCGGCAUCAGCAAGCUCUGCGUCUCCCGUCCAAGCCGGCGUCGCGAGGGUGGUAGGCUGGGGCAGCGAAGAGGGGCUGCUGCCGCUGGCGAGGGUGCUUACCGCGCUGGGGUACGACGAGAUGGCAUCGGCGGCGACGCUCCACCCCAACUUACCGCCGCUCGCGAGGUGGCACGGGCCGAUCACCAUCUUCGCGCCUCCCGAUAUCUCCCUCCAGACCUCGUGCUCCAUGUGCUCGCGCCGCCGCCUCCUCCUGGACCACAUCGCCUUGGGCUACUACCCGUACUCCGAGCUCACCGCCGCCCCCACCAUCAAGAUUCCAUCGGCCUCCGUCAACCUCUGCCUCAACAUCGACACCGUGAGCGGCACCUUCUCCGUCCACCACGCCAGGCUCUUCGUUGAAGGCGUCGAGACUUCCCACCCUGAGGUCUACAACGACGGCCGCUACAUCGUCCAUGGCCUCCGCACCUUCCUGCAACCGCUCUCACGCUACUCCUGCUUCGACCGCUCGCACUCGACCACUGCCACGGCGACAGCAUGCCAACCCGGUCGGACGCGACCUCCGUCUCUAUGUCCGCGAUGCGUGUGA
rnacentral:rRNA from 1 species